UACAGAGGUCUCAAGCGUUGUUCGGAUUCAUUGGGCGUAAAGGGUGCGUAGGUGGGUAGGUAAGUCAGUGGUGAAAUCUUCGAGCUUAACUCGGAAACUGCCAUUGAUACUAUCUGUCUUGAAUACUUUGGAGGUAAGCGGAAUAUGUCAUGUAGCGGUGAAAUGCUUAGAUAUGACAUAGAACACCAAUUGCGAAGGCAGCUUACUACACAGUCAUUGACACUGAGGCACGAAAGCGUGGGGAUCAAACAGG
rnacentral:rRNA from 1 species